AGUGAACGCUGGCGGUAGGCCUAACACAUGCAAGUCGAACGGCAGCACAGUAAGAGCUUGCUCUUACGGGUGGCGAGUGGCGGACGGGUGAGGAAUACAUCGGAAUCUACUUUUUCGUGGGGUAUAACGUAGGGAAACUUACGCUAAUACCGCAUACUACCUACGGGUAAAAGCAGGGGAUCUUCGGACUUUGCGCGAUUGACUGAGCCGAUGUCAGAUUAGCUAGUUUGCGGGGUAAAGGCCCACCACGGCGACGAUCCGUAGCUGGUCUGAGAGGAUGAUCAGACAUACGGGAACUGAGACACGGUCCAGACUCCUCCGGGAGGCAGCAGUGGGGAAUAUUGGCCAAUGGGCGAAAGCCUGCUCGAGCCAUACCGCGUGGGUGAAGAAGGUCUUCGGGUUGGAAAGCCCUUUUGUUGGGCAAGAAAAGCAGCAGGUUCAUAACACGCUGUUCUGACGGUACCCAAAGAAUAAGCACCGGCUCACUUCGUG
rnacentral:rRNA from 1 species